AAGUCGUAACAAGGUUUCCGUAGGUGAACCUGCGGAAGGAUCAUUAACACGUAUCCAAACGUUAAACCCCCCUGUGAACCUUCAGUCGUACUCGUACGUCCGUUAGAAAAAGCAGCAAUCCCUGGUAAAUCAUCGCCGAACAGUUUUCGAUUCAGGGACGUCUGCAAGGAGCGUGCAUGUUGUGCGUGUAAGUGGCCUGGUAUCCCCAAGCAGUUAGUGUCUGAAAGUGUCACUAACGUUAGUGUCUGAAAGUGUCACACACGGCCGACGACCGGGUCACCGGGUGCAAGCCCCCUUAUCACACCCCUGCUCUAUCUAUGGUGAUCCUGCGGGAAGUCCUGCGGUCGAACGCCGAAACCGAACAACUGUUAACAAUGGAUAUCUUGGUUCUC
rnacentral:misc_RNA from 1 species